UGUCUCUAGUGAUGUCGUUGCACUGGGCUCAGAAAAGCGAUGAUGACGAUGUGCAGCUCUGCUCUGACAGGCAGAGUCUGAAGAGACG
rnacentral:snoRNA from 1 species